GCGCGGAUAGUUUAAUGGUAGAAUUCGGUCUUCCCAUCGUCGGCACGGCGUGUAUGGCCGAGGCCCGGGUUCGAUUCCCGGUCCGCGCA